UUCCCGUUCGUUCAAUGGUAGGACGCCCGGCUCUGAACCGGGAGAUCGAGGUUCGAGUCCUUGACGGGGAACCA
rnacentral:tRNA from 1 species